rnacentral:tRNA from 1 species
CAUGCGUUGGUUGUUAAGACACCGCCUUUUCACGGCGGUAACACGGGUUCGAAUCCCGUACGGACUA